rnacentral:sRNA from 1 species
AGUCGAAUGCAAUGGAUUGUGAUACCUUUUGACCAUAAAAACACUAACAAAGCUAUUUACUGCUUCUAAGCAAUAUUUUGUUGGUUAUACCUUCUUUUGUGAGUAAAUGGGUAUAAGUGUUGUCUAAACACUUCUAAUCCAUCGCUAGCUCUUAUAAUUAGUCAAAUGCAUUGGAUUGUAUCACAUUUUGACCAUAGAAACACUAAAAAAUCUAUUGACUGCUUCGAAGCAAGUUUUGUUAGUUUGACACUCUUUUGGGAGAAAAUGGGUAUAAGUGUUGUCUAAACUAUUCUAAUCCAUCUCUAACUCUUAUAAUUAGUCAAAUGCAUUGGAUUGUGACACAUUUUGACUAUAGAAACACUAACAAAUCUACUGACUGCUUCUAAGCAAGUUUUGUUGGUUUUAGCCUCUUUUGGGAGGAAAUGGGUAUAAGUAUUGUCUAAACACUUCUUAUCCAUCUCUAACUCUUAUAAUUAGUCAAUUGCAUUGGAUUGUGACACAUUAUGACCAUAGAAAAACUAACAAAUCUAUUGACUGCUUCUAAGCAAGUUUUGUUUGUUUUAGCCUCUUUUGGUAGAAAAUGGGUAUAAGUGGUGUCUAAACACUCCUAAUCCAUCUCUAACUCUUAUAAUUAGUCGAAUGCAUUGGAUUGUGAUAUCUUUUGACCAUAAAAACACUAACAAAGCUAUUUACUGCGUCUAAGCAAAUGUUUGUUGGCUUAGCCUCUUUUGGGAUAAAAUAGGUAUAAGUGUUGUCUAAACACUUGUAAUCCAUCUCUAACUCUUAUAAUUAGUCGAAUGCAUUGGAUUGUGAUACCUUUUGACCAUAAAAACACUAACAAAGCUAUUUAGUGCUUCUAAGCAAUAUUUUGUUGGUUAUCGCUUCUUUUGUGAGUAAAUGGGUAUAAGUGUUGUCUAAACACUCCUAAUCCAUCGCUAGCUCUUAUAAUUAGUCAAAUGCAUUGGAUUGUGACAUAUUUUGACCAGAGAAACACUAACAAAUCUAUUGAGUUGUUCUAAGCAAGUUUUGUUGGUUUUAGCCUCUUUUGGGAGGAAAUGGGUAUAAGUAUUGUCUAAACACUUAUUAUCCAUCUCUAACUCUUAUAUUAGUCAAUUGCAUUGGAUUGUGACACAUGUUGACCAUAGAAACGCUAACAAAUAUAUUGACUGCUUCUAAGCAAGUUUUGUUUGUUUUAGCCUCUUUC